GCCAGGUGCAGUGGUGCAUACCUGUAUUCCCAGCUACUCAGGAGGCUGAGGCAGGAGGCUUGCUUGAGGCCAGGAAUUUGAGGCUGUAGUGUACUGUGAUCACACUUGUGAAUAGCCACUACAGGCCAACCUGAGCAACAUAGCAAGACCCUAUCUCUA
rnacentral:SRP_RNA from 1 species